rnacentral:rRNA from 1 species
AGAUUGAACGCUGGCGGCAGGCCUAACACAUGCAAGUCGAGCGGCAGCGGGAAGUAGUUUACUACUUUGCCGGCGAGCGGCGGACGGGUGAGUAAUGUCUGGGGAUCUGCCUGAUGGAGGGGGAUAACUACUGGAAACGGUAGCUAAUACCGCAUGACCUCGCAAGAGCAAAGUGGGGGACCUUAGGGCCUCACGCCAUCGGAUGAACCCAGAUGGGAUUAGCUAGUAGGUGGGGUAAUGGCUCACCUAGGCGACGAUCCCUAGCUGGUCUGAGAGGAUGACCAGCCACACUGGAACUGAGACACGGUCCAGACUCCUACGGGAGGCAGCAGUGGGGAAUAUUGCACAAUGGGCGCAAGCCUGAUGCAGCCAUGCCGCGUGUGUGAAGAAGGCCUUCGGGUUGUAAAGCACUUUCAGCGAGGAGGAAGGGGUUGAGUUUAAUACGCUCAAUCAUUGACG